rnacentral:other from 1 species
ACCGGCCUACAAAGUUGGUGCUCGAACAACGCAGGUUGAACCAAUACUUAUUGAACAGGGGUUCGGCUCGUGAAUUCAGCUCGGUGUGCUAUGUCCGCCAGUCCGGAAAGCCUAAAGAGCCACGGCUGAGUCCCACCGUCUUAGACGGGUUCACCUGCGCUUCGCAGCACGGCCCAGUGGGUCGGUC